rnacentral:rRNA from 1 species
CCCAGUGAUUUAGUUUUGUGUGAACCACCUCUUCCCAUUCCGAACAGAGAAGUGAAAGCACAUAACUCCGAUGAUAUUGCCUGGUUCGCCGGGUGAGAAAGUAGGAUUUGCUGGGG